rnacentral:rRNA from 1 species
CCUACGGGUGGCAGCAGUGGGGAAUAUUGGACAAUGGGCGAAAGCCUGAUCCAGCCAUGCCGCGUGUGUGAAGAAGGCCUUCGGGUUGUAAAGCACUUUCAGUGGGGAAGAAAGCCUUGGGGCUAAUACCCUCGAGGAAGGACAUCACCCACAGAAGAAGCACCGGCUAACUCCGUGCCAGCAGCCGCGGUAAUACGGAGGGUGCGAGCGUUAAUCGGAAUUACUGGGCGUAAAGCGCGCGUAGGCGGUCUGAUAAGCCGGUUGUGAAAGCCCCGGGCUCAACCUGGGAACGGCAUCCGGAACUGUCAGGCUAGAGUGCAGGAGAGGAAGGUAGAAUUCCCGGUGUAGCGGUGUAAUGCGUAGAGAUCGGGAGGAAUACCAGUGGCGAAGGCGGCCUUCUGGACUGACACUGACGCUGAGGUGCGAAAGCGUGGGUAGCAAACAGGAUUAGAUACCCGAGUAGUC